GUGGUACUCAAACUGUGGGGGCACUUUCUGUUCCUGAAUGAAGUGCCGCCAGGUUUUGAGCGUUAC
rfam:Neotoma lepida isolate 417 scaffold_3649, whole genome shotgun sequence.